UUAAUUAAUUAUAAUGCGAGGAGUGCCCGGGCGACGCCCUCGAGGAUUCGUUAGCAGUUGCUCUUCGCGCGGUUCGGCACGAAAUUUGGCGCGGACGUCGUUCUCCGACGCUUCUCUCUCUCACUCUCUCUCCGCCGCGUCUCCGUCGCCACCCUCUCCCUCCUCCCCAGCGCGCCUCUCUCCGCCAUGAACCCCCGGCUGAGCUCCCGAAACCCUACCUCCGCUUCUACGCGGCCGCAAUGAACCCCUGCCAUGGAUCCCGACCGAUCGGACGGACCGGAUCCUCCCGAUCCCGGAUCGGCGGCGGAGGCGGCGGCGGAGGAGGAGGACGCGGAGGCGCCGAAGGUGGUGGAGUGGGACGAGCUGCAGGAGGAGCUUGCGCGCCUGUGGAGCCUCUCCUCUGCGGCUCACGAGGCGAAGGAGCGCAAGGACGCGCUCACUCGGCGGAUCGAAUCGAUCCUCAAGUCAAGGGAAGAAUCGCUGCGUCGGAGAUAUGAGCUGGAGGACAUGAGGCAAAAGCUAAACCUUAAGAAGACUGCCCUGGAGGAUUUACGAAUGCGCGUGAAAAAAGCGUCGAAGGAUGUUGAGGGCAAGCGGGAGCAACUUUGUCUGGAGAUCAGAACAUUGCUGGUCGCUGCCGAGAAUCUCUCCACAGCUCAACAACAAUUGCAGGAAGCAAAUAAAUUGUUAGCAGCAAAAAUGGGCCAUGACCAGCUUAAAAAUGUAGAAAAGAUGAUACGAAUGAAACAACAAUAUUUGGUAGCACAAGUUGCUGCCAUAUACCCUGUGGAGGCCAUCAACGAACAAUCUCCUGGAGAGAAGCCUGAUUUGCGUUUUGGAGGAGACAUUGGAUUGUCUUCCAAAGAUGUGCCUAAACCUCUGCCUUUGUCAUCUUUGACAAUCUUGGGGUUGCAGCUAACCAUGUUUCCCAAGAUGAGUAUUUUCGGUGACGAGAAGGAGCUUCAGAACUCUGCAACUGUUCUGGGCUAUGUUGCACAUGCAGUCUCACUUAUUGCUUCAUACCUCAACGUCCGUCUCCGUUAUCCUCUGCGAUUAGGAGCUUCGCGUUCCUAUAUUCUUGAUCAUGCGCCUUCAGUUAAAUUUACAUUAGCAGAUGUGGAAACAAAUCCUCCCAUUAAGACCAUGAGUUUGAAACCUACAGAAUUUCCCCUUUUUCUAGAAGGACAAGAUGCCAUUAGAGCAGCCUAUGCGAUAUUCUUGUUGAACAAGGUCAAAAGGUUGAUGCCCGAGAGUCGACAAGUGAUUGCAUAGUUUCUCAAAGAGUUGGAGGUGAUGCAAAAUUCAUGGUAGAUUACCAAAGUUAACCAGUCUAUGUUCCAGAUUAAGCUGGUCUGUAUUUUUUUUGGUUUGAGGAAAACUGAAACAACUGCAGUAAGUGAAGAAAUGAGGAUUUGACAUCAACCUUUGAAUAUGAAUGAAACCCAGAGGACUGAGGAAUUAACACAAUGGUUGUAGGUAAAAAUAGGAUAUGAAAGGGUAGUAUAAGUGUCAUCAACUUCAUUCUGGUUGUCAGGUGACUAAUCAAUCUCAUUUUCUGUAAAAAGAAUAAGAAUCUCAAGGAAGCAAAUGUCGAAGAAAAUUCUGUGCGUUUCUGAUGCUUUGCAUAUUGAGAGGAUUUGGAGCAGCUUCUGAAUUACGUUGGUG